GGUGGCCAAACCCAGGGUGGGGUCAGGGUGGGGUAGCCUGUGUCUAAGAAGGCGUGAGCCCCCACCCCCUGGCCAGCUCCUUCCCUCCUCCCGCAGCUCCUGGGACUCAGGCAUGGGCAGGUGGGGAGGAAGACUCCUGGGUCCUGCCUGGUCCACAGAGAAGGUCACGUGAAGACGCCUCCUCUCCCUCCCUCUUGCCUCUCCUUCCCUAGAACCGCUAGAUGGAUGUGUUUCAACAGAUUCUGAGCUGAUAAAAUCUUAUUUAUCUUCGGCUGUUGACACAGAGCCGUCCAGACUUGCCUGCCCCGAGAUGCAUGUAUCCUUUCGUGUUUGCAGGAAACGGUUUGCCCAAAUGCUGGUGUCUGCCCAUCCCUGCCCUCCCCCACCGGACCCUCCCCCCAUUAGAGUCCUCGACGGGCCCUGUCUGGCUGGGAGCCCGGGGCCUGGCAGGGCUGGCGCGGGGGUGGCAGGCGAGAGGGUGGCGGGUGGCAGGCGAGGCUCCGUGGCUGUUAAUUUCCUCGCACCCGCUCCCCGGCAGCUGGGUGCCCGGCAUGGGCAGGUUUGGACAGGAGGAGAGUGGAGAGGUGAUAAUAGGUUGUCUGUCAUUUUCCAGGGACGUGUAGCAUCUUGCAAACCGCAAAUACCGUUAACCAGCUUGGGCGAAUCUGUUACAACAGAUUCUGGAAGACGGGGCCUUGAGGGGGGGCUUUUAUUUUUUUAAAUGAUUUUUUUUUAUAGCCCACUUUUAUCUGCUUGCCGCGCGUGUGUGUGUGUGUGCGUGCGUGUGUGUUCAGAGCCACAUUUCUCUCCUCUCUCAGGUUAUGGACCCCUUUGAGGACCUACCCAAGGCCACAGACUCCCUUCCUCCCUAGAGAAACUCCCACAAGAACACUUACCAAGAAGCUGUGUGGGUUCAUAGGGUGACCCCCAAGACCCACAGGGGGCCUAGGCCAACAGCCCCCAUUGACAGCCCUCCUGGCCCGUUUCAGAGCACCCAUGGACAGAAAGCGGUGAGGGUCCCUGCACAAGGAAACCCCUGCACAACGCCCCACCUUGGCCACGGCCUGGUGGCUGGAGGAGGCUCCUGGGAGUUCCUGGACGCUGGUAGGCUGCAACCGUGUCUGAUAAAGAAGCCUGCCGAGAAUCCUCAAGAGCUCCUGGCUAGGGGAGGAGACACACGCAUCUGCUGACACCCUGCACAGGCUGGUCAGGGGGCUCCCUCGCCGGGAGCCCAGAGAAGGAUAAACGGGAGGCAGAAGUGGGCUUUGUGGGUGCCGAGUGACGCUGACCACUAUCCAGGGGCAUCCCCAGAGGCUGUGGGCCAGAGGCUGCCUACCUGUGAGAGGUGGGCCUGGGGCUGGCAGCGACACCCCUCAGGAGCCUCCCCCACACACAUCCUAGAGCCUGUUCCCAAUCAAGGGAGCAGGAGCCCCUGGGACCCUCACGACCUGGAAGUACCAUGCCCUGGGAAGUGGUAAGCAUCCCCCUCAGGCACUCCCAGGCCACAGGGACUUGGGCCUACUCCGCCCUCCUCCCACACAUGGCUGCAAGCCGGGAAGGAUGUCUCUGGUGGCUUCUGUCCCGGGCUAACAUCAGGGGUGGGAGCGCUGAGACCCCUGAGUCCCCUUUGUCUCCACCAGGCUAGCCCUGGGUCCAGGAAGACUGCCAUUCAAAGAGGCAUGCAGGGGGACAGAGCAAGGACACAGGUGCCAGGCACAACAUGCUUCUUCCUCUGGCCUGGGGUCAGGGGCAAGGGGGCCAAUGGGCGGGGACCUGCCCUUGGCCUCAGAUACCCAGGCCCUGCCAUCUGGCCUCCCCUGGACCCUGAGGAGGGGGCCUUGAGGAUGGAGAGGGUAAGCAGGACGUGUCUUUGGGGACCCAGCUGGGCUUGCGGGGAGCCCCAGCCUUCCCACCAGGAGCCACCCUCCUGGCCAAGAGCACAAAUGGUGGCCACGUCUGAAGCACCAGGAUCUGCCUCAGCCAGGCUCAAGCAUAGUUCCCCUGCCUGUGAACUUGGUUUCUGGCUUUGCCAGCCGGAGAGCCCAAGCCUGUCUGUCCUGGCCUCCCAGAGAAGGCAGACACCCCGCUGGCUGGCCCCAUGGGGAAAACACUGGUAAGAAUGCAGCAAGGCUGUGAGCCAGACCAGAGAACUACCCGUGUGGGGACAGAAUGAAGAGGCUGGCCACCAGCCCGGCUCUGCUCACCACAGAGGGUCCCCUCAACUGCCAGGGGAAAGAUCCCCUAUGACCCUUAACGCCCACCUUCCCCUUCUGAGCUGCUUGGCCUUGUCAAUGUAGUGCUCAUAGGGUCAGCCCGCCUGGGCAGGGCGUGGGGGCCAGCAGGCACCUUCUGCUCAGAGGAUGGUCCUGGGAUCCUCUGACUGCAGGCACCCCAUUCUGGACAGGACUGCCAGUCUGGUGAGUGCAGGCACAGGUGGGCCGGCUCCUGCCCCCAGGGCCUAGAAGCUUCCAGAUGGCCUGGGCCUGGGGCCGGCCCAGCUGCAGGUGGCUUGGGAGCGGGAAGGGUGGCCCGGCCGUGGCCACAGUGGGGACGGGUAUUCAGGAUGGCCUCGAUGGCCCUGUGUCAGCUCCAGCUGGGGGCCCUGGGCACGGGCUCUCCUGCCUCUGACCUUCCUGCCAUGGAAGCUACAGGUCAGUCUCCAGUUCAGGACCUCAGUUAAAGACCUGCCCUCUGGCCAGGCAGUGGUGAGCAUGGUUUUUUCACUCUUAAGAAACUGCACCCUCUGCCAGCAAGACAGGAGCCCACAGCUUCUCCAGUGAGCUCGGGGAUGCCCCGGACACGUGGGGAUGGGCAUUUUCCAGCUUCUAAGGCAAUGGUUGGCUGGAAUCGAAGAUAAAUACCCAGCGAAGCCCCGGGGGGAAAAGGAGAGUUUGGGACCCUAAACAUCUGACUGCCCUGCAGAGGGCAGUGGCUCCUAGUGCCAGGUGGUGAGCAUGUGGCACCCCCUCGUCUCAUCCUCCCCAAGGCCCCGGAGGAGCCAGCUGGCUCCUCACAUAGGAGGACGAGGAGGAGAGGGGAGGGGUUGCCGCACCCCGGGGGGCACACAGCCAUGGUGGACGAGGCAGGUCUGUAACCCCAGGGGGACCCUGGGCGUUAGGCCACGGCGGGAUCCCCCAGCAACCCCUGAGCUUCCACUUUACUGAAGCUUGGAGUGCUAGUCACUUGUGCGAGGCGGUGCUCCUGCCCUAAAAUGAGCCCGAGCGAGCAGCCCUGUGGCCCUGUCCAGCCCCGGGGGGCCUCACACCUGACCCCAGCUCUGCCGCCCUCGGGUUUCUGCCCCCUCCUCUUCCUGGGGCCGCCUGGACAAAUACACGGACCGCCCCUGCAAGGCGGGGGUGGGGGAGGCGUGGCCAGGGGAAUUCUGGGGCCUGGGGUCCAUGAACUCGAGCCCCGCUUCCAAAAUCCUGACACGGAUUUCCCUCGCAACUGACCACUGAAAAGCUUCACUGGUCGCUCAGCAGAGACCCUUGCCCAGAGUCCACAGGACGGGGGCGGGAGCCUCAGGACCGCGUGGCCUCCUCAGCCCCGGUUCCAGGAGGAGCUGUCCCCCCUAUAACGGCAGCUACUGAUGCUGGCUGGGCAGCCAGGGCCUGGGAGAUGCCCAGGGAGAGGCGAGGAGGGGCUGUCCCCAGGCCCCGCUCCCGACUCCCCGACCCCCGGGCCCCAGCCCCGGCCCCACUCGGCCUCCAAGGCCAAGUUCUGCGACCUCCAAGCCCAGGGGCUCCAGCGGCUGCAGAGGGUGGUGAGAGAAGCGAUCCCCAGCUCAGGCCACAGGCUAGGGCGCCGACACCAGCCAGGGCCAGCCGGCAGGAAGCGGGUCCCCGCCCCAGGAGCUUUGCACAAUGCAGGCAAUCACGGCCACUUCCCCUGUUCGCUCCUCAUUCUGUCUCCACCACAGACACUGAGAGCUCUUCCCUCGGCCUUAAAUACGUGUAACUGCUUCUGGUGCCAGUAAAAGGUAUUAAUUCCA